UGCAACUCAAAAGACAAAAGUAGAAAGCCCGGUAGUGUAGCAGAAGGGUCCAAAUGAAUCUGACCCCAUUAGCGUCACAAUUCAGAAAACCACUCUGACCUUAGCAUUCUCCCCAAACACCACAUGUCCUGCAACAAAGCCGCCUUCUCUUGCCCCCGCUUUCGAUCUUUCCUUCUGUGCAUAGAUAUAAAUAUGUUCCCUCUAACGCAUGCUCGAAUCUCUGUCUGUUAUUUCUCUUCUUAAUUUCUCCGUGUCUUAGAUUUCUAAUAUGGCUGUCGUCAAUCGACUCCCAUCUCUCUCUGCUUCUAAUUCUCAUUCUUCAUUCCUCUCUAGAAAACCCAGCUCUAUUAAUCUUCAAAAGCCCUUUUGCUCUUUGUCCAACAAACCGCACUCCUCGUCAUCCCCUUCUCCCUUCACAGAAAAACACUCCCUCGAGAGAUACCAAAGAGAUAGCUGGUUAUACAAAGACCCAUCUCUCAAUGCCUCUUCUUCUCUCCCAAUCGAUUCCGAUUCCAUUCAUUCCAUUCGAGGGAACGAUAUUGCCCUGCAACUGCCAGAGCUGAAGAAGCUACUUGAGGUUUUGAAAGAGAAACGAGAGACUGAAGGAUCGAACGGGAAGAAUAGAGGGCCAGGAAAUGUGUUCUUGGUCGGGACUGGGCCUGGAGAUCCGGAGCUCUUGACGCUAAAGGCGUUGAGAGUGAUUGAAAGUGCUGAUCUUUUGUUGUACGAUCGGUUGGUGUCCAAUGAUGUUUUGAACUUGGUGAGACCAGAAGCGAGGCUUCUUUAUGUUGGCAAGACUGCUGGUUACCAUAGCCGAACUCAGGAGGAGAUCCAUGAGUUGCUUCUGAGCUUUGCAGAAGCUGGUGCUACUGUUGUACGGCUAAAAGGAGGGGAUCCAUUGGUAUUUGGGAGGGGUGGAGAGGAGAUGGAUUUCUUGCAACGACAAGGGAUUCAAGUCAAGGUUAUUCCAGGCAUUACAGCUGCUUCAGGAAUAGCGGCAGAAUUGGGAAUUCCAUUGACUCACCGGGGUGUUGCAAAUAGUGUGAGAUUUCUUACAGGGCACUCGAGGAAAGGAGGUAGUGAUCCUCUGUAUGUGGCAGAGCAUGCAGCAGAUCCUGAUUCAACCUUGGUUAUCUACAUGGGCUUGUCUACCCUCCCAUCUCUUGCUCAGAAGUUGAUGCAGCACGGUUUACCAUCUGAUACACCUGCUGCUGCAAUAGAACGAGGGACUACCCCUCAACAACAGGUGGUAUUUGCAGAACUUAAGGAUCUCAUCGCUGAAGUUACCUCAGCAAACUUGGUUUCACCAACACUAAUCAUCAUUGGGAAGGUGGUUGCACUCUCGCCGUUCUGGCCCCACUAUUCAAAAGAAGCAGCAAUUUUGGUGGAGACUUAGUAGUGAAGUUCAGGAUAUCCAAGAAAAAAGAACAAAAGUGUUUAUGUUUGAACAUGGUUUUAACUGAGGCCUUCAAUGUGCUACUUUUGAAGGAUAAAAUAAUCGGUGUGGUUUCUUGCACAUCAUGGAGGCACAUUGUCUGGGUUGUUUUCUACCUGGUUGAAUUGGAGCGGAGUGGAACUGCUAUUACAGCCAGAACCGGACAUCAUCUGAGAUUUUUGUUAUUGUGGCAAUGAGUGGGUUAUUGUCCACAUUGCAUCCAAUAAAUGGAAGGAAGAAUCUCAUCAACUACAUUGAUAUGUGGAAAUUCCCUCAACUGUAGGUCUGCAACCAGGGGGGAAGAAAUUGAAGGAAGAAAAGAAAAAAGCUUUAUCAUGCUCUGUGUUCUUGCUUGCAAGUAUCUCUACAAGAUGGAAAAAAUUGUGCACAUAUAUUUCGCGCAGUCUGCCUAGGGUAAUAGCAGCACUUCUUUCUACUUUUAUCUUCUGUAUUUAGGUGUGCAUGAGCUUGUUCUGAGCAAUUUACAGGUAGAAUAUUAAAACAUUCAGUAUCAUAUCUGUGAGUGCGGUUUAAUUUCAAUUUCUUUUAUUGAAAUCCUAAUAUUAAUACUGAAUUUCUGACCGAUGUUCCUGAA